rnacentral:rRNA from 1 species
GACGAACGCUGGCGGCGUGCCUAAUACAUGCAAGUAGAACGCACAGUUUAUACCGUAGCUUGCUACACCAUAAACUGUGAGUUGCGAACGGGUGAGUAACGCGUAGGUAACCUGCCUGGUAGCGGGGGAUAACUAUUGGAAACGAUAGCUAAUACCGCAUAAUAUUGAUUAUUGCAUGAUAAUUGAUUGAAAGAUGCUAUUGCAUCACUACCAGAUGGACCUGCGUUGUAUUAGCUAGUAGGUGAGGUAACGGCUCACCUAGGCGACGAUACAUAGCCGACCUGAGAGGGUGAUCGGCCAAACUGGGACUGAGACACGGCCCAGACUCCUACGGGAGGCAGCAGUAGGGAAUCUUCGGCAAUGGACGAAAGUCUGACCGAGCAACGCCGCGUGAGUGAAGAAGGGUUUCGGAUCGUAAAGCUCUGUUGUAAAAGAAGAACGGGUGUGAGAGUGGAAAGUUCACACUGUGACGGUAUCUUACCAGAAAGGGACGGCUAACUACGUG